rnacentral:rRNA from 1 species
UGUGUAGGUGGCGCCGUAAGUCGGGUGUGAAAUUUCGGAGCUUAACUCCGAAACUGCAUUCGAUACUACCGUGCUUGAGGACUGGAGAGGAGACUGGAAUUUACGGUGUAGCGGUGAAAUGCGUAGAUAUCGUAAGGAAGACCAGUGGCGAAGGCGGGUCGUCUGGACAGUUCCUGACGCUGAGGCACGAAGGUCAGGGGGAGCAAACGG